AUACUAUAUGGUUGUUAUGUUUUAUUAUUUAUUGGGCUUGUAUCUCUGUCACUAGAGCUUCAUAUCAGUUGGGCCAGUUUGUUACGCAUGUUGUUACAAGUUGUUACAAGGCCUUUGUAUGCAGAUAUUUUGAAGGGUGUUGUUUUUGUAAGUGGCAAACCUGUAGGUGCUGGAUGGAAGUGUUCAAGGGUGCAAUCUGUAACUUGUUCGCUCCUUGUGUUCUAGGGUUUGCGGAUCUGACUGUUGUGGAUCUAGAUCGUCUUGAUCUUGGAAUUUGAAGGUAUGCAUUAGUCUUUGUAGCCCUAGAAGGUUACAAGGCAAACUAACUGGGUGUUUGUGAUAUUUGCAUCUUUUGAUCUCAUUUUAUAACCUUAGAAGGUUAUUAAUCAGAUCUGCUUAAGGAGGGAGUUAAACACUUCUGUAAGCUUGUUCUAUUUUUUUUUAGCUUUUGUUGUUGGUUUAGUUCCGGGGUAGAGAGGACUGAUUUUAUUGUGUGUCUAUCUGUUAUGUAUCUUUUGUUGAUCUAGUUGAUACCGGGGUAGUGAGGACCGGUUUAUCUUUGUGUCUAUUUGUUGUGUAUUGUUCUGUGAUACUUGAUGGUUGUUCUUGUUUUUUGUUUUUCGGCUCCCGAGUAAAGUCUUGUCCAGGCACCAUAGAGUGACGAUCCUGGAAUCUGGUCCCUGACUCAGCUUCGCCCUAGGGUUUCUGUUAUUCUGUUGAUUGUUUGUUUAUUACUUAUGACUAUCUGUUGUUUCCGGUUGUUGUUAAUUGCUUGUCUUUGUUUGCUAUUUCUUGUUACUGGUCAAGAUGGGUGAUAGUGGUAGUACUUCACAAACACUUAUUAGUAAACUGGAUAUAGCUGAUCCGUUAUAUCUUCAUCCUAGUGAUUCUAGUGCCUUAACUAUUGUUAGUAUUAAGCUAAAAGGUACUGAAAAUUAUUCUGUUUUGUCUAGUGCCAUGAAAUUGGCUUUAGAAGCCAAAAAUAAAUUUGGUUUCAUAGGUGGCAAGUGUGAAAGAUCCACUGUUGAUCAUGUAUUAGCAAGUCAGUGGGAUAGAUGCAACUCUGUGGUCUUAACAAGGUUAUUAAACUCUGUGUUGAUGAACUGUUUUUAGCUCAAGUGUUUUCUAAAUUUGCCUCAGAAGUGCGGGAUGAUCUUAGGGAAACCUAUGACAAGGUAGAUGGUUCUGUUGUCUAUGACCUAUAUAAAAAAAUUAAUUGUAUCUCACAAAAUGGAAGUACAGCUGCAGAUUAUUAUAACCGGUUAACUACCAUGUGGAAGCAGUUUGAUGCUAUGCUCAAACUACCUACAUGUUCUUGUAAAGCUGCUAGAGACUAUAAUGAUUUUUCUAUGUUAAUAAAACUAAUGCGGUUUCUCAUGAGGCUUGAUAAUGUUUAUCAGCCAGUGAGAACAAACUUGUUGACAAGAGAAUCAUUUCCAUCUGUCAAGGUUGCCUUUUCUGUUGUAUCCAGCGAAGAGUCUCACAGAAUGUCUAGUGGAGGUGUUAAAAGUGAGAAUGUUUCUUUUGUGUCUAAAUCUGGCCAGUCUUUUGAUUCUAGGAGGAAAAAUACUAGAGGAGCUAAUCCUAACUUGAAGUGUACUCAAUGUAAUAUGUUGGGUCAUACUGUUGACAUAUUUUUUGAGUUGAUUGGUUAUCCUCCUAGAGAAGAUUUUAAUUGUUUUAAUAUUUACAAUGAAUUAUAUUCUUAUUUAAUUUUA